rnacentral:rRNA from 1 species
CAGUGGGGAAUUUUCCGCAAUGGGCGGAAGCCUGACGGAGCAAUGCCGCGUGGAGGUGGAAGGCCUACGGGUCGUCAACUUCUUUUCUCGGAGAAGAAACAAUGACGGUAUCUGAGGAAUAAGCAUCGGCUAACUCUGUGCCAG